GGCAGGCCGAAGGACAGCCACUUGCUGGCCGGUGACCUUGGGCGGGAUACUGCCUGCUUCCCUCUGAGGACACUAAGGCCCAGAGAGGGCUGGUGACCUGCCUGAGGUCACACAGCAAGUUGGAGGCUGAGCCAAGAUGCACCACAAAGUCUCUGGACUCCAGGUCCAGGCCUCCGUGCCUUCCCAGGACCUGGCUGCUCGGGGGCUCACUCUGGGGAGCCGGAGAGACCUACGGCUGGGGAGGACAGUUGGGGGUUGUGCUGUUUGAAGUCACAACUUAAUGUUGACUAAAGUGCAUUUUUUCAAGACAAAAAGAAAAUUCCAGACCCCUGCCAUAAGCCUGGACUUGCUCUGCUGGCAGGGGAAGGAAUGCGGCUCUGGCCACCACAGCUGCUGGUGGCCAGCUGCAGUCUCAGCGCCUGCUGCUCCCGCCCAAGCCGGCAAAGGGACAAAGGCCUCUUCUCAGGCCCGUCCCCUCCAGCCCCUUGGAUUAGCUGGCAGAGCAUUGACCGAGAGCCUCAUCUGCUGCAGACCUGCUAAGUCAUUGUUCCUCUCUGGGCCUUAGUGCCCUUUCUGUAAAAUGGGGGCAGAGUAACUGCUGACCUGCUUCUCAGAGCUGUUUGGAAGCUCCAAGGAGGGAAAGUUACAGAACUACAGACCUCUCAGCACCUCCUUCCACCUGAGGGUCUGCUACUCACUGUCCCCCUGCCUCAAAUUCCCCUCCCUCCCUCAUGCUCUACCUGGCUGCCCCAGCUCACUCAGCUGAGCUCGGCUGGGCCAUCUCUCGCCCUGGGAAAGCUUCCCUCACAUCCAGACUCUAGAGCUUCUUCAGGGGAUUUAUCACUGUUGUAAAUAAUGAAAAAAUUAAUUGUGUAGUCGGA